rnacentral:rRNA from 1 species
AAACAGGAUUAGAUACCCUGGUAGUCCACACAGUAAACGAUGAAUACUCGCUGUUUGCGAUAUACAGUAAGCGGCCAAGCGAAAGCGUUAAGUAUUCCACCUGGGGAGUACGCCGGCAACGGUGAAACUCAAAGGAAUUGACGGGGGCCCGCACAAGCGGAGGAACAUGUGGUUUAAUUCGAUGAUACGCGAGGAACCUUACCCGGGCUUAAAUUGCAACUGACGGAACCGGAAACGGUUCUUUCUUCGGACAGUUGUGAAGGUGCUGCAUGGUUGUCGUCAGCUCGUGCCGUGAGGUGUCGGCUUAAGUGCCAUAACGAGCGCAACCCUUGUUGUCAGUUACUAACAGGUUCCGCUGAGGACUCUGACAAGACUGCCAUCGUAAGAUGUGAGGAAGGUGGGGAUGACGUCAAAUCAGCACGGCCCUUACGUCCGGGGCUACACACGUGUUACAAUGGGGGGUACAGAAGGCAGCUACACGGCGACGUGGUGCUAAUCCCAAAAGCCUCUCUCAGUUCGGAUUGGAGUCUGCAACCCGACUCCAUGAAGCUGGAUUCGCUAGUAAUCGCGCAUCAGCCACGGCGCGGUGAAUACGUUCCCGGGCCUUGUACACACCGCCCGUCAAGCCAUGGGAGCCGGGGGUACCUGAAGUGCGUAACCGCGAGGAGCGACCUAGGGUAAAACUGGUGACUGGGGCUAAGUCGUAACAAGGUAGCCGUACCGGAAGGUGCGGCUG